GCGAGCGGCGGAUGGGUGAGUAACACGUGGGGAAACCUGCCCCUAAGUCUGGGAUACCAUUUGGAAACAGGUGCUAAUACCGGAUAAUAAAGCAGAUCGCAUGAUCAGCUUUUGAAAGGCGGCGUAAGCUGUCGCUAAGGGAUGGCCCCGCGGUGCAUUAGCUAGUUGGUAAGGUAACGGCUUACCAAGGCGACGAUGCAUAGCCGAGUUGAGAGACUGAUCGGCCACAUUGGGACUGAGACACGGCCCAAACUCCUACGGGAGGCAGCAGUAGGGAAUCUUCCACAAUGGACGCAAGUCUGAUGGAGCAACGCCGCGUGAGUGAAGAAGGUUUUCGGAUCGUAAAGCUCUGUUGUUGGUGAAGAAGGAUAGAGGUAGUAACUGGCCUUUAUUUGACGGUAAUCAACCAGAAAGUCACGGCUAACUACGUGCCAGCAGCCGCGGUAAUACGUAGGUGGCAAGCGUUGUCCGGAUUUAUUGGGCGUAAAGCGAGCGCAGGCGGAAAAAUAAGUCUAAUGUGAAAGCCCUCGGCUUAACCGAGGAACUGCAUCGGAAACUGUUUUUCUUGAGUGCAUAAGAGGAGAGUGGAACUCCAUGUGUAGCGGUGG
rnacentral:rRNA from 1 species